AUGCGACAAGAUGAUGUGUCAGUUCACAUUAGAAAUGAUUCUUUGAUUUGCAAGUAUGGGGAAUCGCUGUAUGCAAAACAUGGUCGUGUGAAGUCGAGGCACCAGUACAUCUCACAAAGAAUGAGGGAGCUUGGUCGAUUCGUGUUAGUUGCUAAAGAAAUGGACACGACUGUCAAUGGUCUUGAAGAUUUGUGUGCGCCAGCAAGAUUUCAGUUUGUUGUUAAUGUUGCCAAGCGUCUUACUCAAUUUAGUCCAGGCAAAAAUGAGUAUGGAAAACCUUCAACAGCAGUGAAAAUUGGAUUCUGUCUGAAAGGGGCUGUGGAGGUCCUGAUUGGGCAGGCUCUUAUGAAUGAGGAUGAUCUAUCAGAGAAGAAAGCCAAAAAAUUCUUUGAACUUUUGGAGAAAAACUGGAGGAACAGUGUUUCUAUCACCGCUCACCAAACCAUACAAGAAAAACGAUGGAAUAAAGAAGAUGACAUCCCCCUCACCAAAAAUGUGAUUGCUCUGAGAGACCAUCUCAGGAUGGUAGAAGAUGAAGCGAGAGCAAAACUGACACCGCAUAUGAAUUUAGGAGCAUACAAGGCAUUAAAUGAGACUGUUCUGGCACAGGUUAUUAUUUUUAACAAGCGUCGUGAAGGGGAAGCAUCACGCUUAACUCUCGACACCUACAAGAAAGCGAGCACAAAUUCCAUUAACGAGGAUAUCUAUAGCACUUUGUCACCACUGGAAAAGGAGUUGAGUAAGAUACUAACUCGCAUAGAAAUCAGGGACAAAAGAGGAAAGAAAGUUCCAGUUUUCUUGACAGAGAGAAUGAAGGAGUCAAUCAAUUUGUUGGUUCAAAGGAGAGAAGAAGCUGGUCUACCCGCUGAAAAUCCUUAUCUCUUUGCAAGACCUGGUGUGAUGACAAACAUACGUGGAUGUGACUGUCUGCGAAAAUACGCAGAAGAAAGUAAAACCGAAAACCCUGAACUCCUAAGAUCAACUAAAUUAAGAAAACAGGUCGCCACACUCUGCCAACUCUUGGACCUUACUGAACAAGAGCUUGAGAGGGAAGAACCUUAA
rnacentral:lncRNA from 1 species